GACCUUACAGUGAAAUGCUGAAUACAACAGGUGUAGUAGACCUCACAGUGAAAUGCUGAAUACAACAGGUGUAGAACCUUACAGUGAAAUGCUGAAUACAACAGGUGUAGAAGACCUUACAGUGAAAUGCUGAAUACAACAGGUGUAGUAGACCUGACAGUGAAAUGCUGAAUACAACAGGUGUAGUAGACCUCACAGUGAAAUGCUGAAUACAACAGGUGUAGUAGACCUCACAGUGAAAUGCUGAAUACAACAGGUGUAGUAGACCUCACAGUGAAAUGCUGAAUACAACAGGUGUAGUAGACCUCACAGUGAAAUGCUGAAUACAACAGGUGUAGAACCUUACAGUGAAAUGCUGAAUACAACAGGUGUAGUAGACCUCACAGUGAAAUGCUGAAUACAACAGGUGUAGUAGACCUUACAGUGAAAUGCUGAAUACAACAGGUGUAGAACUUACAAGCACUUAACCAACAAUGCAGAAAAUACCACAAAAGUAAGAGAUAAGAAUAACACAUUAAAGAUCAGCAGUAAAUAACAAUAGUGGGGCAAUAUACAGGGUAUUACGGUACAGAGACAAUGUGGAGGCUAUAUACAGGGGGGUACCGGUACAGAGUCAAUGUGGAGGCUAUAUACAGGGUGUUACGGUACAGAGUCAAUGUGGAGGCUAUAUACAGGGUAUUACGGGUCAGAGUCAAUGUGGAGGCUAUAUACAGGGUAUUACGGUACAGAGUCAAUGUGGAGGCUAUAUACAGGGGGUACCGGUACAGAGUCAAUGUGGAGGCUAUAUACAGGGUGUUACGGUACAGAGUCAAUGUGGAGGCUAUAUACAGGGUAUUACGGUACAGAGUCAAUGUGGAGGCUAUAUACAGGGGUUACCGGUACAGAGUCAAUGUGGAGGCUAUAUACAGGGGUACUGGUACAGAGUCAAUGUGGAGGCUAUAUACAGGGUGUUACGGUACAGAGUCAAUGUGGAGGCUAUAUACAGGGGUUACCGGUACAGAGUCAAUGUGCGGUUAGUAGAUAGGUAAUUAUGUAAUUGAGGUUUUCAACCUCACACUUUGGGCUGGAUGUUUCAGUAUGUAGUUAAUUCAUGCAUAAUCACUGUCUUACCUCAAAAAUCCACAAAAAGUUGGAAAGCGACAAUUUGUUGAAACUGUGCCGCGCCAUUUCCCCUCCAUUUCCCUGGCAAUUAGAGUUCUAUCUCAUGAGCUUCAGCCACUCGUAUUUGAGUGACAGCUUGCAAGAAGCCAGCCCAGGGUUAUCCAAUGAGGUUGCAGGGCGCGCCACAGCAGAGAGAGAGAUGACGUGGUGAACAUAUGUGAUGUAGUACAACAUUUUCAGGGACCACUUUUGACUUGUGAGUGUUACUAUCAGCACUACUGGCUAAAAAGUACACAAAAAGUAGCAGAGAAUCUCUUUAAUGAGUCUGUUGACUGUAGUUUAUACAUGAUCGGACUGUUCCAGCUGGAACAACUAGUUUGUUGUGUGUCUUUUGUAUUAAAAUGUUCCAUCAGUUUAUGUUCCACAUUAUCCUGUUAUUAUACAACAUUAUCUUCACCAGAUCUCAAACCAGCCUUCUACAUUGUCACAUUAUAGUGUCAUUAUACAACAUUAUCUUCACCAGAUCUCAAACCAGCCUUCUACAUUGACCAUAUUAUCCUGUUAUUAUACAACAUUAUCUUCACCAGAUCUCAAACCAGCCUUCUACAUUGUCACAUUAUAGUGUCAUUAUACAACAUUAUCUUCACCAGAUCUCAAACCAGCCUUCUACAUUGACCAUAUUAUCCUGUUAUUAUACAGCAUUAUCUUCACCAGAUCUCAAACCAGCCUUCUACAUUGACCACAUUAUCCUGUUAUUAUACAACAUUAUCUUCACCAGAUCUCAAACCGGCCUUCUACAUUGUCACAUUAUAGUGUCAUUAUACAACAUUAUCAUCACCAGAUCUCAAACCAGCCUUCUACAUUGUCACAUUAUCCUGU
ensembl:lncRNA